GACUCGGUGGCGAACGGUGGGCUCCGACUCCAGAUCAGAAGGUUGCGUGUUCGAAUCACGUCCGGGUCA